rnacentral:rRNA from 1 species
UACGGGGGGGGCAAGCGUUGUUCGGAAUUACUGGGCGUAAAGGGCUCGUAGGCGGCCAACUAAGUCAUACGUGAAAUCCCUCGGCUUAACCGGGGAACUGCGUCUGAUACUGGAUGGCUGGAGUUCGGGAGAGGGAUGCGGAAUUCCAGGUGUAGCGGUGAAAUGCGUAGAUAUCUGGAGGAACACCGGUGGCGAAGGCGGCAUCCUGGACCGAUACUGACGCUGAGGAGCGAAAGCCAGGGGAGCAAACGGG